AGAACCCAACGGCCACUAGGCUAGCGCGGCCAGGGGUUGGAGUGCAAUGGCGUGAUCUCGGCUCACCGCAACCUCUGCCUCCCAGGUUCAAGCGAUUCUCCUGCCUCAGCCUCCCGAAAAGCUGGGAUCACAGGCGUGCGCCACCACGCCUGGCUAAUUUCGUAUUUUUAGUAGAGACGGGGUUUCUUCAUGUUGGUCAAGGCUGGUCUCGAACUCCGGACCUCAAGUGAUCCGCCCAGUUCGGCCUCCCGAAGUGCUGGGAAGCCACCGCGCCUGGCCCAAGUACGGACAUUGCUGCAGGAGAAGAGGUUGCCAUCAAGCUUGAAUGUGUCAAAACCAAACACCCUCAGCUCCACAUUGAGAGCAAAAUCUACAAGAUGAUGCAGGGAGGAGUGGGCAUCCCCACCAUCAGAUGGUGCGGGGCAGAGGGGGACUACAACGUCAUGGUGAUGGAGCUGCUGGGGCCAAGCCUGGAGGACCUCUUCAACUUCUGCUCCAGGAAAUUCAGCCUCAAAACCGUCCUGCUGCUUGCUGACCAAAUGAUCAGUCGCAUCGAAUACAUUCAUU
rnacentral:lncRNA from 10 species